GGGGGGAGGCCGGAUCCUGGGCUCUGUCCCGGCGCCCUGUGCUCCGGGGCCUGCGCUGUUGGAUUCGCGCUCCCGGGCCGCCGCCGCGCAACCCCCU
rfam:Canis lupus familiaris chromosome 3, whole genome shotgun sequence.